UACGUAGGGUGCAAGCGUUGUCCGGAAUUAUUGGGCGUAAAGAGCUCGUAGGCGGUCUGUCGCGUCUGCUGUGAAAACUCGGGGCUUAACCCCGGGCCUGCAGUGGGUACGGGCAGACUAGAGUGUGGUAGGGGAGAUCGGAAUUCCUGGUGUAGCGGUGAAAUGCGCAGAUAUCAGGAGGAACACCGGUGGCGAAGGCGGAUCUCUGGGCCAUUACUGACGCUGAGGAGCGAAAGCGUGGGGAGCGAACAGG
rnacentral:rRNA from 1 species